GACGAACGCUGGCGGCGUGCUUAACACAUGCAAGUCGAACGGAAAGGCCCUGCUUUUGUGGGGUGCUCGAGUGGCGAACGGGUGAGUAACACGUGAGUAACCUGCCCUUGACUUUGGGAUAACUUCAGGAAACUGGGGCUAAUACCGGAUAGGAGCUCCUGCUGCAUGGUGGGGGUUGGAAAGUUUCGGCGGUUGGGGAUGGACUCGCGGCUUAUCAGCUUGUUGGUGGGGUAGUGGCUUACCAAGGCUUUGACGGGUAGCCGGCCUGAGAGGGUGACCGGCCCCAUGGGGCUGGAGGAGGGGCCAGGCGCCCAAGGGGGGGAAAGGGGGGGAAAUUUGGCAAAAGGGGCGGAGCCUGAAGGGAGCACCGCCGGGUGGGGGAGGACGGCCUUGGGGGUGGAAACCCCUUUCGCCGGUAACGAGGGGGGGGGGCGGGAAAUGGGGAAAAAACACCCGGUAACCUCGUG
rnacentral:rRNA from 1 species